UUAUAUGCUUUUGUGAACAUUUCAUUAAUAUAAACAAGAUUAUAACAUUUUGCGAGACAGCAACGUGUUAAUUUAUACUGACUAAGACGACGGGUGUAAUUUAGAGGAAUGACGACUGUUACCUCAGAUCGCCAUUUACACAAAUUGACUUGAAUAAUCGUUCUAAGAUGUUUGAUAUGGCAUAUUAAUAAAAUUAAUAAAACAGAUGUUACAAAAUCCCCAUCACACGGUUGAUUACGUUAACUCAUGACAAUUUCUGUAAGCCUUUAACAAAGCGAGUCAAAACCGGUACAGAGUGGACCUCCGCAACCCACUUCGGCUUUUUGUGUCACACACGCGCAUAAUUUUCCCUUUCCCAGCUUAACAAGCGAUAGCGACGCUGUUAAAUUAAAUUUAGCGACAAACGAAUUGCUUUCUUGUCAUUCGAUAUGUAAAGACAGACCGCAAAGGGCGAGGCGCGAGCAGAAGCACAUGUUAACUUUACCGGCGGCGCCGCGGCGGAGGAUCACGGAGCCGUCGUCUACGCUGUCACUGAGGCAAAGACAAGAAGCACAUUCACUUCACAGUCGGUACGGCAGGUAACGCGUCGAUAAAUUAAAACGAAACAGCGUUUCCAAGAACUGGUGUCUUAUAUAGUGUGCAGAGUUUUAACGUCCAUCCAUUGAUGAGGCUAGCAAGACCUUCAAACAACUUCAGCCAAUUGCAACAAAUGUGGUGGAAUUUCUUCUCUGGACAGAAUCCUCGAAACCCUUUCCUUUCGUCCUGGCCAUGGGAAACAUGCAGCAGAUCUCUCAAUCUUUUUUCUCAAUCAGACUCUCUGAAUACGGAAGUGACUUAAACUGCAAUUCGGCCAAGAUGGCGACGGCACGCACCGCCUACUUUAAGCUUCAAAAAUGCUCUUCACAAACCAAUGGGUGACGUCACAGACACUACUUGCAUAUUUUUUACAGUCUCUGGUUUAAAGGCAUUUUAAGUGCUUAAAUACCCCAGGCAAUGUGCUUCUAUGGGAAUUCCUGUAGUUUGUCAUUUUUCAAAUUAAUGAAUCCCCUGCUGUUCGAUUCCUUUGUACAUCUUUGUUCGCGACGAGUAACUUUAAUAAAUGAAGUAUUUUUAGUCAAAUACAUUCCAUUCUGUGAAACUUAAAACAUUUGUUCUUUAAAAAAACUUUACACAUCUAUGAAUGAUUUUACUUUUAAUUUAACAAUUACAUUGUUUCUUUUCUUACACUGCUGUAGUUUUGUUUAUGUACAUUUCAGUAUUUCAUAUAUAUACUGUAAAAUUACAAAUUCUGUCUUAAAUUCAAACGAAUUGAUUCAACCUGUUACAUUGUUACUUCAAUGUGCAUAAUUUAUGAUAUUUUAUAAAUAUAUUUAUACUUGGGUCAGUAAGCAGUCCUUUAAAUGAUUUUGCAACUUACAACUGUAAAAAUGUAAGAGUUUGUAGUUAUUUUGCAAUCAAAUAAACAUUUAUUUG